rnacentral:sRNA from 12 species
UGCCUAAACCUGCCGUUCGGCGGGCAUGGCGCAAAGUCCGAUCAGAGCUAAUAAACCCAUCAUGUGGGAAUGCUCUGAUCGCCCGUAUCGGGAAACCGAUAUGGAGGGCUAAAAACCCUC